rnacentral:tRNA from 1 species
AGGGGUUUAGCUCAGUUGGUAGAGCGACGGUCUCCAAAACCGUAGGUCGUGGGUUCGAGCCCCCCAACCCCUGCCA